UUGGAUUUUGCAGGAGGGCGCACGACCGGGCUUUGCUCAGGCCGCGCGCCUACCUGUUUUUUGUCGGGGACUACGCCACUCUUAACUGGGGGGCGCUAGGACGCGGCUCGUUUACUUUGAAAAAAUUAGAGUGUUCAAAGCAGGCCUUUGCUUGAAUACAUUAGCAUGGAAUAAUGGAAUAGGACUUUGGUUCUAUUUUGUUGGUUUCUAGAACCGAAGUAAUGAUUAAUAGGGAUAGUUGGGGGCGUUUAUAUUUCCAUGUCAGAGGUGAAAUUCUUGGAUUCUGGAAAGAUAAACUUCUGCGAAAGCAUUCGCCAAGGAUGUUUUCAUUAAUCAAGAACGAAAGUUAGGGGAUCGAAGACGAUCAGAUACCGUCGUAGUCUUAACCAUAAACUAUGCCGACUAGGGAUCAGUGGACGUUAUUUUAUGACUCCAUUGGCACCUUGUGAGAAAUCAAAGUUUU
rnacentral:rRNA from 1 species